UCUUAUUAUAUGAUAGCUUUCAGGAUGACAGGAUCAGGUCAGCUCAUAGCAUAGCAUCAAACUAGCCAACUCACGCACUGUCUCGACUGCCUUCAACGCGAUGUGUUAUUCGACCUCUCCAUAUUUUAUGUCUUCUUGGCCAUAGCUAACGGUGUUAUUUUCCGAGAACAUAAAUAAUCUCCUAGUUUUAUUUUAUUUUUUUAUUGCUUAUUUGGGUGGACGAGCUCACAACCUACCUGGUGUUAAGUGGUUACUGGAGCCCAUAGACAUCUACAACGUAAAUGUGCCACCCACCUUGAGAUAUAAGUUCUAAGGUCUCAAUUAUAGUUUCAACGGCUGCCCUACCCAUCAAACCGAAACGCAUUAUUGCUUCACGGCAGAAAUAGGCAGGGUGGUGGUACUUACCCGCGCGAACUCACAAAAGGUCCUACUACCAGUAAGCACCAGUAGUUACCAAAAAAUCUGGAUUAAUGUGUUCCCUACAUUCAUUACAAAAUUAAAUUUUACCUUUAAGCUUUUAUAUCCGCACUACACGUACCUACGUAUGCAAAUUUACAGACGCUAAGCCUUACAGGGCUUUCACAAAGAAGUUCAAAGUUAAACCUGUCCAAUAACUUCAGCUCUUAUAUAACCUUCAUUUAAACUGUCAACACAGAGCUAUCGAGUUCGGUAGCGCUGCGGAAGCGAUUUCUAUUGUCUACGAUGAGUCAACUUUCUACGUUGUGUUGAACCGUUCUAUGGAAAACGUUGUAAGAACCACAUGACUAGCCCGUCGUGCUCUCAAGCUUCGAUUGCAGUUACCGCUGCUUCAGGGAAUCGGAAAAUUUUGUUAAAUUGCUGCAGAAACUAACUGGGAACCAAAUCAAAGCAUUUUGGGCAGCAAACUGGAGUGCAUCAUUGUUUGCAACUUCAACAGAUAUCUUCACAGGUCAUGUUUUCAGAAUAUGGUAGCGCUGAUUAGCCGACAAACACGUCUCUUCCCGAACUAGACAGAGCAUACACAAAGAGUUUUUAACUAGUGUUUAUGUGCAGAUGAACUGUACUGUCUCUAGGAGGACGUUACUUAACUAGUACAACUUGGAACGGAAAAAAAAACUGGUAAAAUAAAUUCAGAAAUCUACAUUUAAAAUAAAGUGUUCCGCGCUGUCGCCCACCGUGAUAAGGUGUAAUACAAAUUCGAACAACAAUAAAUUCAGCUGAGAUCCGUUGGAGGCGUGUCGUGAAUACAGGACCCUCCAGAUGAAAGAUCACCAAGAAUAAUGGCAGAUCUUAUCUUGAUUCUUACGCACAAAAAAUUCCGAUAAUAUUUCACGGAACUUACGUCGUGAGGGUUCUUCGGUCUGACAAGCAAAAUCCACGUGAUGGUAGGUGCACGAUGGUACAACAGCAAUGCCAGUGGCACAGCCAAGCCGUUGCCUACUCCGAAGACUGUCCUCAUUAAGCUUUGUUUCGAGUAAGACAUGUCGUGGCGCUCAGGAAAACAUGUAUGCAAAUGAAAUUAAAAACGAAAGCUGGAUACUUAAUGUGUGUAUAAGCACACACAAAAUAUGAGUAUGAAACGAACUUUAACCGUAACGACUUUGACGCAGUCUUAUAAGAAUGAGGAAGGUAGAUACCGAAUAACUCUAACCAAAGUUACUUGUUGAAGAUAAUAGGAUUGUAACGAGUCUCAAGGUACCGCUUCCAUCAGAUUAGAUACGUUCGAUGAAACACUUCAGUCUCGUUCCGUGGAUAUUAUUUGUUUUGUUGUGUUAUUGGCUUUACUUAUAUUGGCUCUUAACACGGUUGGUAGUUUGCUAUGUAAAAUUUGUACAAAACAUCUGAAAUGUUUAGGCUUCCCGUUUCAUGACUCUGAAGGUUUUCUUUAUAUUCCGCUUCUUUAGCAUGACGAGUACUUCGGUAACAAACAAAAUAUACCAUAUUUGAAAACCAAUGACUUCUCUUAUGAAGUAUUUGUAUUUCUAAAUUAAACAACAUUAAUAAAACCUUUAAAGAUCA